UGACUCCAGUCAGUCACUUUACACUAUCAAAGUCCAGCCCACUUUCAAACUGUAGGUUCCUCAGACAUAUUCCUUCUUGGAGUGUGAGUAUGAUGUUCCCUCUCUUGAAGUUGGGAUGCCUCAAGGUCAAGUGACAGAAAUCUGCCCACAAGCUUUGGUGUGAUGCUGGAGUGCUAAAUAUUACCUCUGUGCUGGAGUAACGUGGUCAUGGGAUUCAAAGCGAUCUCCCACACUGUGCAUUUGAGCAAGAAAGGGCCUGGGCAAACUCCCUCCACCUUUCUUUUUCUCCCACAGUGGACCUGUACAGCCUGCUCAUGUCUCUGCCUGUCUACUUGUAUCACUUUUGGGAUUGCUCAUUGAUUUCAGUGAAUGCUUUUUUCUGACUUUCAAAUUCAACUGCCAGAGGAUAAUCCAUCUCUCAAAAACAUUGUGAGGUGGAGAUGACUGUAACCCUGUCUGGAAGGUCUUCAUAACCAUAGGUCUACAGCAAAUCAAAAUGUGAAAGUAAAAUCACGAUUCAUCCUGAUGCUGAUAUGUUAAAUACCAGACUGGAUACAUGUCCUCUCUCAAGCUGACUUCUACUCCAAAUGAGCCUUCACCUCAAACAAACAGUUAAUAACUCUGGAAGUGGUAGUAGUUUUUUACAUGGAGAAAUAUUGAAGCAAAAUGAUGUUCCUGUCCUCUACAGCAAUUGGAAAAUUCCUAGCUAUCUCUGGCAAAGCACCUCUCAGGAGAGUUGUUCUAUCAAGGACUGAAUAGAACUUCAGCCCAGGACUUUGCUGAAGGUGUCUGCAUGUCUAGACCUGUGCUUUAAGUUCCUCUGCUCCUAAACAUUACAAAAGACAUUUUUACCUAACGAUGAUGAACACUGGACUGAGCUCAUACUGCUGAAAGAUAUCAAAUGACGAGGAUAUGAAGUGCUGCUCCCAGCAACCUGGACAAAAGGUAGAGUGGCUAAAAGGUAACUGUGCAGGUCUGGAUUUACCUCCCAGUCCCUGGAAGGUCUCAGAGCUGCUGGGAUCUCUGCCACUGUACAGGAGCCGGCUGUGUGUUUGGAGGCUGAGGCAGAGGUGCUGAACUGUGUUCCUGUGCUGUCAGUCCCCGUGUGCAGUGAGGGGUGAGCGAACAGAACACGGCUUGGAGAGCCUCAGUGCGAGCACUAAACUGGGGAGAGCUGCUCCUAAACUAUGACAACUUUUCAGUAAACAAUAUGAGUAAUGUCUCAUUUCUGUUUUCUCUCUCAUCCAUGUUGCUCUAGGAAAGCAAUUUACUUAUACAAAUGGACUGGGGAGAAUUUGCUCUUUGCCUGGGUGCUUUUUCUCAUUUUGGGGAAAGAUUUUUUUUUCUGCAUGUCUCCCCUUGACUCUGCCAUUCUUAAGUUGCAAACAAAUAAUUUGUUCUUUCCUCCUCUUUUGUGUGUAAGUGGUGGAGGAGGGAUGUUGAUUUCCUCAUCUACCUUUGGAUGUCUGGGCCAGGCUAAAGAAAAACAUCUUCAAUUAUUGCAAGUCUGCAAUUAGACUUGGCAGCUCCACUGUUUUUCAAUAGGUCCAGUUCCCUGCCUCAUGUUUAACUUCAGCAAUAACUGCAGGAACUUCACUUCAUGGCUUUGCUCUGCCUACAGUGACUAAUUGCAGGGGACAUAAUCUGUAGCUAACCACUUAUUUAUAUAUUUUUGCACUAAUACCAUGCCUGUCUUUUCUGUGGAAUGAAUGUUCCCAGUUUUACCAACUUUGAUCUAAUUGGAAUCAAUUUUCUGCUUUCUCUUUCAUUUAGGUGCAAUGGCACUCAAAAUAAAUGUUCUUUCAAACAUGAUGUUGGACCACAGAACACACAGCAAAAUAAUUCCAGUUGCAAGAGCCAUUUAAGUAUCUAAAUUUCUACCCCAAAAUUGUUUUCUGUGUCUUCAAAGACUCUUAUUUUCCUCAAACUGAGAUGGAAAAAAAUAAAAUAUUGGAUUGGUGGGAGGAAUGGAAACAUCUAGAAAACAAAAUGAGUCAGAACUGACCCUGCAAUGUCUGAUUUGGAUUUAUUGACUUAAAAAAGAGACUCUCCUUUGUGUCUGGGUUUUAAAAUUGGUUCUACAUGCCCACAUUAAUAAAAGCAGUAAUUCAGGGACUUUAGGCCAAUUUCCCAUUUCUACCAGCCAGGCUACAACACUUGCACUGACUAAAAGCUCUUGGUGAGCUUUAAUAACACAGUAAUAUUGAAAAAGACACAGAUAUUGCCAGAAAAGAAUGUAUACAUGUAAAUAUCUCUGACUUUGCUUCACCGCAGGCAGGAUCAGUAAUAUAAAACCCUGUCCUGGUGGGCACUGAACCCUGUUCUCCCAGCUUCCACACCCAGAGAAAAUAACAAACAUAUUUGGUCUGACCCAUCAUUAAGGAAAAUUAUUCACACAGUAUGUCUGGGUGGGAAACCAGCCAGAAACUGGAAUGGUUUGGUGGGGAUGUCUCCACUUGAGCUUUAGCUACAGUGGAGAAUGUGGCUGUCUCCUCACUGCUUGCUUUGUAACUGAGCAUCUGUGAAAGCCUUAGUGUGAUGCAUUCAAUAUUUUGAGGAGGAACCCAGAUAUCUGCCUAGAGAAGGUAGUUUUGACACCUAGGAUGUCCUCAUUUUGUCAUUCACAAGGAUUCAUGUGAAUUCAUAAAGAUUCAUAUGAGUUGUGGUUAUAACAAAUAAAAAAGGUGCAUGAAUAUAAAGACAAUUUAUUUAUUGGGUUUUCAUCAUCUUGUUGAAAUCAAUAUAGCCAUGAAUGCAAAAAAUCUUAGGAACCAGAGCUACAUAUGACCAUACAGCUUCACACAACCUUAGCUAAUAGAGACCCUUCUCUGACUUUCAGGAAAAUUCGUUUGAAAAUAUUUUUAUUUUGCUUUUCUUCACAGAGAAAGAAACCCUCUGUGUCAUGGGAAUUUUUAAUCUGAAGUAAUUUUAUGAUAAAUUUAACAAGAUACUUCUGUCCUUCUCCAACUGAUAUUACAUCCUCAGUGGUAAAGGUCCAGAGUAAGACAAGCAAUAAAACUUCCUAGGGGACACCAGCUGGAUUUCUUCUAAAUAAAUGUGGUCUCAAAAGGGUUUCUGUCAUCAUUGAGAUGUGUGAUGCAAGGGGAUGGACACUCAAACAGGCUUAUAAACUGGAAAAUAGAUUACUGCUACUCCAUGAAGAUGGAAUCGUCACUUUUAAAAGAAUAAAAGUGAAGUUUCUUAAAAAGGAAGUGAUUUUUUUAGUAUUUUUUUUAUUAUUAUUUAGUAAAUGACAGUAAAUAUCCUGAGUUUUAGCUGUAAGUCCCAGUAAAACGACUAUGUGUGGUUUCAGAGCUGCACAAAGAUCACUGCUGGAUGUUCAGUGCAACAGCACCCUCUGUGUCUGAUGACUUCUAAAUGCAUCCCUUGCUCCAAGGUGCACUGUGCCAGGUGACAAUGUCAUUUCUCGUUAUCUACAGAUCUCUUCAUCUGACCUCAGUAUCUCAUGAAGAUUAAAAGCAAAUUAUAAACAUAAUUAAAGACAUAAAGAACUUUAAAAAGUAAAAAAGAGCAGGAGUUCAGCACAACCCUGUUAUCUUUUUUUUUUUUUUUUGUUUAGCAAAAACCCCCUAUUUUGCUGGCAAAGGAACUGAGAUGAUGCAAUUCAUGCUGCCUUUAGUAAAGGUUUGGUGUAAUAUGUCAUGAAAAAGUUGCUAAUUUACAGAAAAUGGAAAGCAGUGCAGCACUUGAACAAAGAGUCAAAGGAGACACAAGAGUGGGUUUUACUGAAACAAAAAUAAAAUUCUGGAAGACAGUUACUUGAGGAAUUAACUGUGAACUGUAAUUUGCAAAAUAGGACCACAGGAAUCAUGGUAAAUGUAGUUCUAGGCUACGAGAGAUAUAUUAUUUCUGCAAAGAUAAGGAGUGUCGAAGUACAUUGUCCCAAUACAAAACAUUGCAGAAUCUUCCCUGGCAUAUAAUGUGCAAUUAUGGUCACUAGUAAUUUUUAAAGUAGCAGUGCAAAAUCAGACUGGAGCACUAAAUAUAUAUAUAUAUAUAUAUAUAAAAGAGAAAAUACAAUUGACUUGUUUCUUUAAGAAGGAGACAAAGGUAUCCUUGUUGUUUCCAUUUGUUUUUUUUUUCUUAAUAAGAAUGUUCAAAGUUUGCCAUCACAUGAAUGUGGGCAAAUCAAAUCAAUUUUUGUUCCCUCUUAGUGAAGUUAGUGCUUCACUUAUCUGUUGUGAUUUUUGGUGAGGAGAAUAAAGAGCAAAGCCUCCUGGCAAUAAAAAGGUCAGAGGAGGUAUGGAAGUUUUCAAUUCAUAUUUUUGGCCCAUUAUUUUCUUAUAGGUAAUAGAUGAACCCUUCAAAUAGAACAGCUGGAGCUGUUGCCUGCAUUUUCUUCUCAGGUGAUACCUUUACCAUAAAUGAAGUUCUGAUUAAAGAGUGAAGGUUUCCUCUUCUGUAAAAGCAUUUUGGUUAUGGUACUCUCUGUUUGUGUGUGAGGGAUGCAGUGGCUGCACAUUCUAUUUUUUAUUGUCUCCAAAACAGAUGUAUUUGCUCUUGGAUUGAAGUAGCAAAAGCUGUCAGAAAGGUUUUGUCAUUAAUUUCAUACAGAGCUGGCUGUUGAUGUUGUCAGUGGCUCUACUGCUGUAGGGCUGCCCCUUUCCCUGGAGGGCAGAAAUACAAAACAUCUGGCUCUUAUUUAGAAGAACUACUGGCAUAUACUGUGGUGAAGGACUUUGGUAACACUCACAGUAUUUGUUCGCCUAUUCAAUAUACCUACAAGUAAUGUUUCCAAGGUUCGUUAAUCCCUGCAUUAUUUCUGUACUAUUUGAAUUUUUUUUUACUAUUUUUAAAUGAUGUUUUCAUUGGAAUGUGCAUUCUGAAUCCAACCUUCAAAGCCUUCACUCAUUUUCCCAGUCAUGCUCCAAGUCCUUGCUGCCAACUGUAUCAGUCCCUUUAGAGUGUUUUUAGGGGAAGUUCACAAGGUGGUGCUGUAAGAUUUUCCACGUCAUAGUUUGGAUAGCUACUCCAUGACACUUUAAAUUUCAGACCAGCUUCUGCCUCCAAGGCUGUUUGUUGCCUGCCUAGGUUUCCUGUCAUGUUAUUGGGGUUUUUUUAAAAUGUUAUUAUUAGAGCAGAAAAUGUGGAGAAUUGUUUGUUAGUACUGAUCUACAAGGAAAGCGGUCAACUACUUGCUAACUUUUGAAGUGGAGUACAAGAAAAAUUAAAUCAGAUGGUGUUUGAGAUUCACCCAGAAAACUGCAUUGUUUUCUCCUCUCUAAGAAUACUUCCAUAAGCAAAUGUAGUAACUGCUUAUAAGUGAUACUUUGAAGAAAACAAGCAUUGUAUUUAAUAACUGCAUAACAGAAAGCCACAAACCCGCCUUGCACAUUUUCAUGGCUUUAGGGUUGAAAUUUUACAAGGGAAUUUGGAAGAUUUGACUACUUAGGUCACAGAGAAAACAAGAGCAAAAGGUUUCAUUCUCUGCAACACAUUCAUAUUUUGAAAGAUCUUUCCCUUCUCUUUUUCCUUAGUUAAGUUUUUACUAUUUCAUUCAAUGGAUUUUUUUUCCAUUUAAUUUAAGUCCACCUCAGACAUUUUUAUAAUUUUCUCACCACUGCCUCUGUGACCUCUAGCUCAUUUGAUUUGCUGUGUUAACAUCUGCUUCAAAAGAAGGUAAUUUUACUGUUAUGAGUCAAGUAGUCAUCUUGCUCACUAUAAAAAAGAGGUCAUACAAACUUUCAUAUACAGAUGCCAUUAAAAUAUAUUUAUAAAUAUUUAUAGUUAAUACUGUAUUAAUAUAAAUUUAGUUAUUUUGCAUCUUAUGUUGUAUUUUACACUUCCAUUUUAUGAGACUAUAAGUACAGGAGCUGAAAAACAGGGUAGUGAAUUUUAAAACUCCUCAUGAAAGGAAGCAAUUUCUAAAUGUUCAAAUAAGAGGAAGCAGACAAAGGUGUUGAGUGUCCUGUGCUUACUAAAGCAACAGUGACUGAAAAAUGUCAUUUCAGCCUUGAGAUGUAACAUCUUAUGUGGCACACUCCUAGAGAGGUGCAAACAGAACUUGUGCUUGAGAGUUCUGCUUUCCAACGGAAUAAACAAAACAGUUUGGUUUAAAUUGCAUCUUCUUUUCAAACAUCUGUGUACAAAAGCGUUUGGUGUCCAGGUAUGCAGAACUUUGUAUUUGGUCUUGUUAAACCUCAAGAGAUUCCCAUGGACCCACUUCUCAAGCUUGUCCAGAUCCCUGUGGAUGGCAUUCUCUCUGUCAGGUGUGCCAACAGCACCACUCAGCUUGGUGUCACCUGCAAAAUUGUUGAGGGUGCACUCAAUCCCUUUGUCCAUUAAACUGAGGAAGAUAUUAAACUGUACUGAACGCAGCAUGGACCCCUGAGGGACACCACUUCUCACUGAUGUCCACCAAAACUCUGAGGCAUA